rnacentral:rRNA from 1 species
CAGUGAAAUUGAACUCGCUGUGAAGAUGCAGUGUACCCGCGGCAAGACGGAAAGACCCCGUGAACCUUUACUAUAGCUUGACACUGAACAUUGAGCCUUGAUGUGUAGGAUAGGUGGGAGGCUUUGAAGCGUGGACGCCAGUCUGCGUGGAGCCGACCUUGAAAUACCACCCUUUAAUGUUUGAUGUUCUAACGUUGGCCCCUUACCGGGGUUGCGGACAGUGUCUGGUGGGUAGUUUGACUGGGGCGGUCUCCUCCCAAAGCGUAACGGAGGAGCACGAAGGUUAGCUAAUCCUGGUCGGACAUCAGGAGGUUAGUGCAAUGGCAUAAGCUAGCUUGACUGCGAGCGUGACGGCGCGAG